UCCCGUACGAUCACCGAAGUUAAGCAACAUCGCGCCUGGUUUGUAACUAAAUAGGUGACCACUUGGGAAUACCAGGUGAUGUAAG